GCAGUAUCCUAACUGUGCUAAGGUAGCAUAAUCAUUAGUCUUUUAAUUGAAGACUGGUAUGAAUGGCUAAACGAGAAAUUGACUUUUUUUGUUAUAAAAAUUGAACUUAAUUUUUUAGUGAAAAAGCUAAAAUUUUUCAGAAAGACGAGAAGACCCUAUAGAGUUUUAUAUUUUUUAGAAUUUAAUUUAAGUUGGUUUAUAUAAAUUAAAUCUGUAAAAAUUAUUUUGUUGGGGCGACAUUUAGAUAUAAAAAACUCUUUAUAUUAAAAAUUUUUAUAGAAAAAAUAUUGAUCCUUUAAAAAAGAUCAAAAGAAAAAAUUACCUUAGGGAUAACAGCGUAAUCUUUUUUGAGAGUUCUAAUCGACAAAAAGGUUUGCGACCUCGAUGUUGGACUAAAAUUUAGGCAGGGUGCAGAAGUUCUGCUUUUAGGUCUGUUCGACCUAUA
rnacentral:rRNA from 1 species